rnacentral:rRNA from 1 species
AUGCAGUUGGAGAUGGAUGCGGUCGAGCAAAACCGCACCUGGGAGCUCGCUGACCUCCCUCGUGGUCACCACGCAAUCACCCUUAAGUGGGUGUUCAAGUUGAAGAGGGAUGGAGCCGGCGCCAUCAUCAAACACAAGGCUCGCCUGGUGGCUCGAGGCUUCUUGCAGCAAGGAGUCGACUUCGACGACGCCUUCGCUCCCGUGGCACGGAUGGAGUCCGUGCGACUUCUCCUUGCGCUGGCUGCCCAGGAGGGCUGGCGUGUCCAUCACAUGGAUGUCAAGUCGGCGUUCCUCAACGGCGACUUGAAGGAGGAAGUCUACGUGCAUCAGCCACCGGGAUUUGCGAUUCCCGGACAGGAGGGCAAGGUACUCUGCCAAGGCUCUCUAUGGCCUACGGCAGGCACCUAG